CCUACGGGGGGCAGCAGUGAGGAAUAUUGGUCAAUGGCCGGAAGGCUGAACCAGCCAAGCCGCGUGAAGGACGAAGGUGCCAAGCAUUGUAAACUUCUUUUGUCAAGGGACAAAAUCAGGCUCGAGAGCCUGACCGAGGGUACUUGAAGAAAAAGCAUCGGCUAACUCCGUGCCAGCAGCCGCGGUAAUACGGGGGAUGCGAGCGUUAUCCGGAUUGAUUGGGUUUAAGGGGGGCGUGGGCGGACGGUUAAGUCAGCGGUAAAACCCCGGGGCUGAACCCCGGCGAGCCGUUGAAACUGGCUGUCUUGAGAUGUCGAGAGGUAGGCUGAAUGCGCAGGGUAGCGGUGAAAUGCGUAGAUAUUGCGCAGAACUCCGAUGGCGAAGGCAGCAUACCGGCGGCGAUCUGACGCUGAGGCACGAAAGCGUGGGUAUCGAACAGGAUUAGAUACCCCUGUAGUC
rnacentral:rRNA from 1 species